UACAUACUCCCUCCGUCCGAAAAUACUUGUCAUCAAAAUGAAUAAAAAGAGAUAUAUUUAAAACUAAAAUACGUCUAGAUACAUCUUCUUUUAUCCAUUUUGAUGACAAGUAUUUUCGGACGGAGGGAGUACUAU
rnacentral:pre_miRNA from 1 species